rnacentral:rRNA from 1 species
UUUUCUAUGGAAAAAAAACAGCUCGUGUCGUGAGAUGUUAGGUUAAGUCCUGCAACGAGCGCAACCCUUAUUAUUAGUGGCUACCAUUAAGUUGAGCACUCUAAUGAGACUGCCUGGGUAACCAGGAGGAAGGUGGGGAUGACGUCAAAUCAUCAUGCCCCUUACGCCCCCCCCCUACACACGUGCUACAAUGACAGUUACAGAGAGACGCAAGGGCCA